rnacentral:rRNA from 1 species
AGAGUUUGAUCCUGGCUCAGGAUGAACGCUAGCGGCAGGCUUAACACAUGCAAGUCGAGGGGCAGCGGGGAGGAAGCUUGCUUUCUCCGCCGGCGACCGGCGCACGGGUGAGCAACACGUAUGCAACCUGCCCCUGUCAGGGGGACAACCCGCCGAAAGGCGGGCUAAACCCGCGUACAUGCCACCGGGGCAUCCCGGAGGCAGGAAAGGCUUCGGCCGGACAGGGAUGGGCAUGCGGCGCAUUAGGCAGUAGGCGGGGUAACGGCCCACCUAACCGACGAUGCGUAGGGGUUCUGAGAGGAAGGUCCCCCACACUGGUACUGAGACACGGACCAGACUCCUACGGGAAGGCAGCUGUGAGGAAUAUUGGUCAAUGGUCGGGAGACUGAACCAGCCAAGCCGCGUGAGGGAUGAAGGUACAGAGUAUCGUAAACCUCUUUUGUCAGGGAACAAAGGCGGGGACGCGUCCCCCGGAUGAGUGUACCUGAAGAAAAAGCAUCGGCUAACUCCGUGCCAGCAGCCGCGGUAAUACGGAGGAUGCGAGCGUUAUCCGGAUUUAUUGGGUUUAAAGGGUGCGCAGGCGGUCUGUUAAGUCAGCGGUCAAAGCCCGGGGCUCAACCCCGGCCCGCCGUUGAAACUGGCAGUCUCGAGUUGGAGAGAAGUAUGCGGAAUGCGCGGUGUAGCGGUGAAAUGCAUAGAUAUCGCGCAGAACUCCGAUUGCGAAGGCAGCAUGCCGGCUCCACACUGACGCUGAGGCACGAAAGCGUGGGUAUCGAACAAGAUUAGAUACCCUGGUAGUCCACGCAGUAAACG